GACGAACGCUGGCGGCGUGCUUAACACAUGCAAGUCGAACGGAAAGGCCUGCUUUCCCUUGUGGAUUGCGGGUACUCGAGUGGCGAACGGGUGAGUAACACGUGAGUGAUCUGCCCCCAACUUGGGUAUAAGCCUGGGAGACUGGGUCUAAUUCCCGAUAGGACUGCAGGGUGGUGCCUGUGGUGGAAAACGAUUUUCUAGUGGUUGGGGAUGAGCUCGCGGCCUAUCAGCUUGUUGGUGGGGUAAUGGCCUACCAAGGCGGCGACGGGUAGCCGGCCUGGGGGGGUGGACGGCCACAUUGGGACUGGGAUACGGCCCAGACUCCUACGGGAGGCAGCAGUGGGGAAUAUUGCACAAUGGGCGGAAGCCUGAUGCAGCGACGCCGCGUGGGGGAUGACGGCCUUCGGGUUGUAAACUCCUUUCGACCGCGAGGAAGCCACCUGGUUGGAAGGGUGGCGACGGUAGUGGUAGAAGAAGCACCGGCUAACUACGU
rnacentral:rRNA from 1 species